CAGUGGCCUGCUAGGAACUAAAUCUGGUUAACUGGCGGAACAUCAUCGACCGCGUAGGUGAGGUAGCAGUCGUUCUUGUAGUUUCUCGACUAGUACGCGGUCCAGUUUUUCUUGUCUUGUUGCUGUGUUGGGUGCGAAUCAAAUCCGCAAUACUUUGCCUUUUGGCCUCCAUCUCGACAAUGAAUGAACCGAUUUUGGUCAAUUGUAGCUCAUUUGAACCCUAAUAUUCACCAAAUUAUUAUGUUAAAAAAUCUUGAAACCUAGUUCUCAAAUGAGGCCUCCCAGACAAUAUCUAAGUGGAAGUCGCGAUUUGCUGUCGUACAGUGUAUAUGGUACUACCUUAUGAUUGGAACGCGAAACGGAAAUAAUGGGUGAAUGCUGAAGGAAAAUAAAUAAAUAUAUAUGAAUGGAAUGGAACGCCGAAAUAGCAGAACGCCAGUAUAUAUUUAUCGUGUCAGGAGGAUUCUCCUGAAACAUUUUUGCUUGUACGUAUUCGCCAUGUGACGUUUUCGUAUUGAUACGUUUUUGACAUAUGCCAUUUUCGCCUGAGACAUUUUCACCUUACUACAUCUUCCCUUGGCAGCCUUUUGCCUUGAAUAAUAAUAGAGCUAAUACUACUUCUGUUUAGUUAAAUAUUUGUUUUGAAUUUUUACCGUUGUAUCCAGCUUUGAUAAAUUAGAAACAAAGAGUUAAACAAGCUAUACAAUAACAAUUCUUCAAACCUUAAUGAUAUAUGUAUAAUACGUAGGUUUUAAAGUAUUUGGAAUGCUACUGCUACAUUCCGUUGCGAAGAAUCAAGGAAGGCUACUGCUACAUUCCGUGGCAAAGAUGUAUUAACAUUGAUAUGCAGUCCAUUUCUUCAUCAAAAUGCCAUGAAGAGAUAUUGAAAUCUCUACUUACAUCAAUGAUUGCAUCAGAGUUAUAGAUCAAGAUGGGCACCUCGUCCAUGAAAGUCUACAUGUAUUUGUGAAUAUGAUAUAUUUAUAUUAUAUAUCAACAUGCUUCGUUAACUUAUCAGUUAUCACAAUAAUAGAUUUUGCCUCUACUCGCUUCGACCUUUCACUUGUGCUUCCCUCCCUGUGCCUCGGGAGUAAAUCAUCUUGCAAUCUUGUGUGUUUAUAUCUUAUGCAUAUUUUGCGAUUCUAUGUGGCAAUUAACCAUAUUCCUAUUACCAUUAGGAUUUUGGAUCCAAUCGAAUGGAAGAAAAGCAUAGUUUCAAGACCUUAUAAAGCAUCCUUUUUAGUGGUUGAUAAAUAGUAAAUACAAGAGCCUGAUGGAUUUGUAGAGUUGUCCAGCUUUGAGGAUUGAAUAGUAUAAGGAUACCUUCAUAGUUUGAGUCAAUUUCAUACUCAUAGAAACUCGGAGAGUGCAUGCCUAGGAUGGGACAAUGGACAUCGACGACUAUGAAAUUCUAAGAAACUUAAGAAAAUCGCGCAAUUGGUCGGGUAAUACAUCGAAGAAUCAAGAGAAUCUUCUCUUUGGGAUAUUAGAAGCGGAGAUAUCUCUGAUGGGCGAAAAUUUAUAAACUUGUGUCGGACAAUAUAAUCUGGCAUCUCUAUCUUUCCAGCCGUCUCACUAAGUUCCUUCAAAUAGAGAGAAGGGCAUCUGACUAAUAUAAAGACCAAAACAUGGGAUCUUUAGACAUAUAACAAUAAUUAUAUUUACAACAAAAUCGCAUAAGCUAUCUCAUUUGUCUAUAGUUUUUGAUAUUUUUAGAUGGAUUGCAGAUACAUCACCGAAAACCUUUUUAAUUAUUGAUGUAUUAAGUUCGAUUUUUGUUGAUUUAAAGUACUCGAAUCAUGUAUUUAUUUUUAUAGUUGUUUCAAAUUUUUUUUUUUCAUGAAAUCAUUGUUAUGUAUCAUUAGUGAGUGGAUUAUAUGUCCCUUCUUUAUUUGUUAUUUUAGUACAUCUAUUACAAUUAAUCGACUAUAUACAGUUAUUAAAACGUUUACAAACAUAC
rnacentral:lncRNA from 1 species